rnacentral:lncRNA from 1 species
AGCCAUUGUGAUGUAGAAUUUCUGAUUAUCACAAAGUACUCUUUAUGGUGAAUCCAAAGGAAUAACUGUGGGGAAGGGGUCAAUCCCACUCUUUUCAUAGUAAUCCAUUUUAACUAUGCUUUAGACCAAAGAAGAUGGGAGAGAUGAGAGAUGAUGAUGAGGGCUUAACCAAUUUUCUACUUGGAUCAUCACGUGUCUUUUUAAAGCCAGAUACUAGUUAGCAUUAACUUGGGAAUUAAAAACAUAUGAUUCAUUAAUGUUUUAUUCCCUUAUUUAACAUAUUUAUUGAGCAUCUACGCAUGACAGACACUGUUCUAUAACAAAUGAUACAAACUGGAUUGACGGAAGAGAAGGUGGAGAGCUAAAAAAAAUUUACAAAGUAGAAUCAAACUGGGUUCAUUCCAAAAGAGUGCUGCAGAAUAUAAUAGAAGUAAUAUACUAAAGACAGAACUCUGCAUUUUGAAGAAGCUUUGGAAGUUGAGGCUUGAACUUGGCCUUUAAGAACACUUCAGGCACGUCUCAGGCAAGCCUCCCUCUCAUGGAAGUUCCCAGGAAGCCCACCAUGUACGUGUCUGCACGUGUCUGUAGAAGAGGAGGAAAUAUUUUUCCGGGAGCCGGCUGAUUACACAAAGAACAAAGAAUGAAAACCCUAAGUGCAGGGAGGGACGUUGUGCAUUGAUCAUUCUGGCUACUUCAUGCUGGAGAGGGCAUCAUAUGGGGGACAGCAGCUGGGAUUUCUCCUGUGAUCAAUCUAAGAGUCCUCUUAAGAAGAGCACAUCCAUGCGUGGUUCUAUUUGUAUCACUAUUUGGACCGUGAUAGGCUCUAGGCAAAAAGAAACAAUUUAGGUUAUAAGAGAACAAGUGUUAAAACAAGACUGGGGUUAAUGACGUUUUAAAAAUUCCGAGGCUGCUGACACAGUUGGAUAACUGAUUAUUGUAGUUAUGUCUGUUAAGAUUUGGGUGCAUGGGCUUGACUUUGGUUAUCUCCAUUGGUUUUAUUCUCCCCCCAGAAAACUUCUGGGUUAUGGGUGUUAUA